AGGUCGUUUUGAGGGUAGUUUCUUAUCAAACCCUUGUAUCUCUCCCACGCCUCAUAGAGUGAUUCCCCUGGAAUUUGUUCAAAGUUGCCAAUGGCUUUCUUCAAUUU